UACGUAGGGUGCAAGCGUUGUCCGGAAUUAUUGGGCGUAAAGAGCUCGUAGGCGGUUUGUCGCGUCGGCUGUGAAAUCCCGAGGCUCAACCUCGGGCCUGCAGUCGAUACGGGCAAACUAGAGUGUGGUAGGGGAGACUGGAAUUCCUGGUGUAGCGGUGAAAUGCGCAGAUAUCAGGAGGAACACCAGCGGCGAAGGCGGCGCUCUGGGCCGGUACUGACACUGAGGAGCGAAAGCGUGGGUAGCAAACAGG
rnacentral:rRNA from 1 species